UACAGAGACUGCAAGCGUUAUUCGGAUUCACUGGGCGUAAAGCGCACGUAGGCGGCUUGGCAAGUCGGAUGUGAAAUCCCUCGGCUCAACCAAGGAAGUGCAUCCGAAACUGCUGAGCUUGAGUACUUAAGAGGAUCGCGGAAUUCCCGGUGUAGAGGUGAAAUUCGUAGAUAUCGGGAGGAACACCAGUGGCGAAGGCGGCGAUCUGGGAAGAUACUGACGCUGAGGUGCGAAAGCGUGGGGAGCAAACAGG
rnacentral:rRNA from 1 species